rnacentral:rRNA from 1 species
AUUGAACGCUGGCGGCAUGCCUUACACAUGCAAGUCGAACGGCAGCACGGGAGCAAUCCUGGUGGCGAGUGGCGAACGGGUGAGUAAUAUAUCGGAACGUGCCCAGUCGUGGGGAUAACGUAGCGAAAGCUACGUUAAUACCGCAUACGAUCUAAGGAUGAAAGCGGGGGAUUCGCAAGAACCUCGCGCGAUUGGAGCGGCUGAUAUCAGAUUAGGUUGUUGGUGAGGUAAAAGCUCACCAAGCCGACGAUCUGUAGCUGGUUUGAGAGAACGACCAGCUACACUGGGACUGAGACACGGCCCAGACUCCUACGGGAGGCAGCAGUGGGGAAUUUUGGACAAUGGGCGCAAGCCUGAUCCAGCAAUGCCGCGUGCAGGAUGAAGGCCUUCGGUUGGUUAAACGUUAG